rnacentral:rRNA from 1 species
UACGGAGGAUCCAAGCGUUAUCCGGAUUUAUUGGGUUUAAAGGGUGCGUAGGCGGCCUGUUAAGUCAGGGGUGAAAGACGGUAGCUCAACUAUCGCAGUGCCCUUGAUACUGAUGGGCUUGAAUUGACUAGAGGUAGGCGGAAUGUGACAAGUAGCGGUGAAAUGCAUAGAUAUGUCACAGAACACCGAUUGCGAAGGCAGCUUACUAUGGUCUUAUUGACGCUGAGGCACGAAAGCGUGGGGAUCAAACAGG